rnacentral:lncRNA from 1 species
UUUAUUUCUCUCUCUCUCUCGCUCUCGAUAUUUCCACCUGUGAGGCCGUUGUUCUUCAAUCUCUCGUUCGCUUCUCCUCUGUGACUGUAAAUCACUCGUCACUCCUCAGCUCUCUCUCUUUCUUCUCACUAACCACUCCUCUUGUGCGACUGUAAGUUUGUCUUUCCUUUUUCUGCUUAUUUUUUCCAUCUUCAAUUAUAAGGCACAAUCUUAAAUGGGUAACUUUAAUUUCAUUAGAAUGCACAAUCUUUAUGUAUUUUUAAUAUAUGUUUAUGUUGGAAUCUGUGGUUCUUCUCUGUAUUUUCUCUUCUUCUUCUUUUUUCUUUUUGUUUUUUGCCCGGUAGUUAUUUUAUUAAUAAUAGAAAAGAAAAGUGCAACAUAUAGGAAAAGUACAUAUAAGGGGGACAAUAGCACCAGUAGUGUUGCCUGUAUGCCUUCGCUAUAUAGUCACUCCUUUGCGCCUCACAUUGUCAUAUGAUGGCAGCCUCAUGUAGAGGAUUAUCGAUCUGCCGGCAAAGUCCCACGAGGGCAUAUAUUCUCAUAGCCAUUUGGAUGUCUUUCCAAAGGCAUAGGACAUGAGCAACCACAUACUGGGCCUAACCUUACCUUACUAAUCCCGUUGAGGAAUAAAUAUCCUCGCCUACUAACAAGCAUGUAAAAAGAAAGAGCUAGAGAGCAAUAAAUAUUCUAUGAUCAUCACAGAGUUUAUAACAUACUCCGUGAUGAUAUUACAAAUGACUAUACUAAUAAAAUGGUAAAAUAAGAUAUAGUAGGAAUUUGAUUCUUGUCCCUUGUUGCCCAAACUUGCAACUUCUUCAAUUUGUAGUUCUUGAUCAUCUUCAUCAAACCUCUUCAGAAUGUCUUCAAACUUCAUGACUUUUUUAUUGAACGUUUGGACCUUGUAGAUGUAGUUGGGGAUGCCUGUUUUUGUUUGGCAACUCUCAUUGGGAGUCGCCUAACGUUUACUUCCUCAUUCACAGAAAUAGUUGGAGUGGUUGUAACCAAAUGCUGUUGUCCAGCUUGUGUAGUCGUUACUGCAAUACAUGGUUGUAAAUGCUGCUGCUGCUGUCCAGCAUUUGGAGUUGAUAUUACUGCUUGUUGCGUGCUUGCAAUUUGCUUCUGCUGUUGAGCAACUGCUGGUGUUGUUGCAUAUUGACCAGACACAAAAGUAUCAGCUGGAAUGUUUGCAAAAAUCAGCUGUUGCCCAGUCCUUUUUGUUGCUCCAUUUUUCAUCCAGAUAGUACCUGCUUUGCUUGUUCCAAUAUGUUCCUGCCCAGAAUUUGGUGGGUUACUGCAUUGUGAAUGCAUGUAGUACCAGGAGACUUUCUAGGAAUGAAAUCUGGAGCAUCCAAAUUAAGCUUGCUCUUUAGUUUUCCAGUCGAAGUACUUUCAGUUUUUUGCGUCAGAUGGGCGUCCUUGAUAAUUUUUACCACGCGAGGGCUGGAAAACUGCAGCAUUGUACUGUUUUUUGAAGUUGCCUCAUGUUGAAGUACCUGGUCUUGCACGCCUGGAGAUCUCCUAUUUUUAGGUGUUCGGUGCGCGACUGCUUGCUGCUGAUUCUGUCGAACAUCUGCAGCACUUGAAAUCUGCUGCUGCUUCAUUACUUUUGGAGUUGUAUUCUGCCUUGGAGAGUUGUUAUCACCACACUCCAAGCCAAAGUUUUCUUCCCAUUCUUCAAACUCUUCUGCUUGGUCAGCCCAUGUUUUACGACCUACCAUGACAGCACUAGUAGCGCCUUGUUGCUCCUUAGAACAACUUCCUUCAUUUGUGGAUGUUUGAGAGAAAGAAGUCAUACCUGCAUUUUCUUGUUGAUUGUUACAUGUUGACAGUAGUUGCUGUCCAGAAUAAACUGAUCGCUCACCAUAAGACUCCAUCGAUUGCGAAGGGAUCUCAUGAACGGAGGUAUUCAAAGUAACCAAUGGGGCGUUAACAUUUUGAAUGGUAUGCAGCCACAUAGCUACGUUUGAUUCCUUUAUCAAUUUAUCCAAAUCUGGAUUGCAGAUAUGUACUGUUGAUCCAGAUGUUAAUGUAGCUGCCACUGCAUUUGGAUCCUCAACAAGAACAAUGUCUGUUGAGGCACUAGUUGGAGCUGCAGUAGUUUUUGAUAGCUGGUUCUGUUUUGCAAUGCCUGGUGCAUUUGAUAGACUGUUUUUUGAAGCUGCCUUACAUUCAAACUGUUGUUUUGCACUGUCGAUGAUUUGAUCUCUCUUAUUACGCUGCCCCCUGUUUCCAGCAUCAUUGUGGUUUAGGGACAUUGUGGUUGCAGUAAACACUUGGAAUGCCCCAUUUAUUUGCGCAUCAGCAGGAACAUUGUCCUUCGAAACAAUUAAACAUGUGUUCUUGGAAAGCUGUUGUUCUUUGCUUCUGCAGAUUUUGAUUGCCUAUUUUCUGAGUUUGCAUCACAGUUAACAUGCUGCACACCCGUCCCAACAUCAUCCACCACAGUUUCAUUCAUUAAAAUACCAAAAGAGUUAGCAACACUAACUGCCUUUGAUGCCACAACCUGAACUGGAGAAUUAUUUUUGUUUGGUGAUGGAAUCGUUCGAUUAAUCACUGACCAUUCUCCACCUUUUAUUUUUUGCACCGCAUGAACAGCCAGUUUAUCGUCAGUAUUUUUAGAUGUACCUUCACCACUAGUAGGAACUGCUCGUGUUUUAUCAUCAUGGACAAUAUUUGCAGAUUCAAUGCGCCGCAUCGAAUUUCCAGUUUGAUCAUGCCACACAUCUGUCUUUUUCAAGAUAUUCUCACUUGUAACUGCUUGAGAGAAUAUGUGUCGCCUACCAGUGGUGCUUUGCCCAGCUCCUGUAGGAACCUUAGCUCCUUGAAACACUGAUUCAACAGCAUCAGUAGCAGCUCGAUCAGCUGUUGUAUUCAAUGAACCAGCAAUAUCAGCAGUACGUUACAAAAUCUCAAAAGUAGGUUGCUCAACUCCAACUAAAAGUUGAGGAUGUUUAGCCUCUGUAUUUGAUGCUUUAGAAAAUGUAGGAUCUGCACACUCCAAAGCCAUACCACCUACCUGAUAUUGCCCCUCAUCGGCCAUAACAGUAGCUCUAAGGCCUGCUGUUUUAUCAACUGAUUCACCAGCUGCAGCAGAAGGUAGAUCGUGCACCUGCUGAAGAUGCCCAGGUUCAAUAGUUGAACUUUGAUCACCCACAACUUUGUAGAUCCUAGCCAAAGCUAUGCUAGUAGGGAUAUCACUUGGAAACUUUGUUUGAUCCUUGUUAACAGUUGAAGCAUUACCUACGUUUGUCACAUGAUUCUGCCCAGACUCCUUUAGUUCAAACCUAGGAUCCUUAACCUUCUGCCCAGAAACAAGAGUUGUAGCGUUAAGUGUCCUAGUAACAUCUGUUGUAUUUCUCAUCUCAGUAGCAUCAGAUUGUUGAUGACCACCAAGUGAUAUCUCCCCAGUAUUCUUAGCAUUAUCUAAACCUUUACCUUCAGGAACCUGCUGCAGUUUUUUAGCAUCCAAUAAUUGCCUUAGAUCUCCUUGAAAUCGAUCAGCACCUCCUGCCUCUAACUCCAAAUCUGCUUCUGUGUCUUUUUGAGCUUCCUCAUCGUGAGUUAUUUUCUAAUAAAAAUUGGGUAAUUCUAAUUUAUUGAUAAAGGCAUAAUCUUUAUGUGGUUUUUAAUAUGUGUUUCUGUUGGAAUCCUUUUUUUUUUUUUUUGUGAUAGUGUUUUUAUUCUGAUAUUGUUUCUGGAUUCCAUCAAUAUGCAGUAUCAGCAAUCUUGCUGUGAAAUCUUGAGAAUGAGAGUGGAGGCAAUUGAAAAUUUCAGAAAGAAGUGGACUAAUAAAAAAAAAAAUAUGUACACAGCUUGUUUCUUGCUACAAAUCUUUGACCUAGCAACAGAAGUUCUAUUUUAUUUUUAGGAAACUGUUUAUUUUCUUUUGUUAGUUUUACCCAUUUUUUUAACUGUCCAGCUGUGAUAAUGAAAUGAAUUGUUUGUAUACUUACUCCCAAGUAAGAUUCUGCAAGCUCGUUGUUUGCUUUAGACUUAUGACUUGCUCAUCGGGAACUCAGUUCCUUUUAACUUCUUGG